rnacentral:rRNA from 1 species
AUUGAACGCUGGCGGCAGGCUUAACACAUGCAAGUCGAGCGGGGGAAGGUAGCUUGCUACCGGACCUAGCGGCGGACGGGUGAGUAAUGCUUAGGAAUCUGCCUAUUAGUGGGGGACAACAUCUCGAAAGGGAUGCUAAUACCGCAUACGUCCUACGGCAGAAAGCAGGGGAUCUUCGGAACUUGCGCUAAUAGAUGAGCCUAAGUCGGAUUAGCUAGUUGGUGGGGUAAAGGCCUACCAAGGCGACGAUCUGUAGCGGGUCUGAGAGGAUGAUCCGCCACACUGGGACUGAGACACGGCCCAGACUCCUACGGGAGGCAGCAGUGGGGAAUAUUGGGCAAUGGGGGGAACCCUGAUCCAGCCAUGCCGCGUGUGUGAAGAAGGCCUUAUGGUUGUAAAGCACUUUAAGCGAGGAGGAGGCUACUUUAGUUAAUACCUAGAGAUAGUGGACGUUACUCGCAGAAUAAGCACCGGCUAACUCUGUGCCAGCCGCCGCAGUAA